rnacentral:rRNA from 1 species
GAUGAACGCUGGCGGCGUGCCUAAUACAUGCAAGUCGAGCGAACAGAUGAGGAGCUUGCUCCUCUGACGUUAGCGGCGGACGGGUGAGUAACACGUGGAUAACCUACCUAUAAGACUGGGAUAACUUCGGGAAACCGGAGCUAAUACCGGAUAAUAUAUUGAACCGCAUGGUUCAAUAGUGAAAGACGGUUUUGCUGUCACUUAUAGAUGGAUCCGCGCCGCAUUAGCUAGUUGGUAAGGUAACGGCUUACCAAGGCAACGAUGCGUAGCCGACCUGAGAGGGGGGCGGGGCACCAGUGGAUCGGACACGGGGCCAAGACCCCUGGGGGGGGCGCAAGGGGGAUACCGCGCGCAAGGGGAGAAACCCGGAGGGACCAGCCCGGGGGGAUUAAGAAGGGUCUUGGUAUCGAAAAACUUUUUUAUUGGGAAAAAAAAAAUGGGAAAGAAAAUAUGCCUGUUUGGAGGGUACCUAAUAAAAAGCCCCCGGCAAACUCGGUC